AGAGUUUGAUCCUGGCUCAGGACGAACGCUGGCGGCGUGCUUAACACAUGCAAGUCACGGGGGCCCGUAGCAAUACGGGCAACCGGCGAACGGGUGCGUAACACGUGAGCAAUCUGCCGAUCUCUGGGGGAUAGCCGGCCCAACGGCCGGGUAAUACCGCAUACGCUCAUCGAGGGGAGUCCCUUGGUGAGGAAACCUCCGGGGGAGAUCGAGGAGCUCGCGACCUAUCAGCUAGUUGGCGGGGUAACGGCCCACCAAGGCAUCGACGGGUAGCUGGUCUGAGAGGAUGGCCAGCCACAUUGGGACUGCGACACGGCCCAGACUCCUACGGGAGGCAGCAGUGGGGAAUAUUGCGCAAUGGACGAAAGUCUGACGCAGCGACGCCGCGUGUGGGAUGAAGCCUUUCGGGGUGUAAACCACUGUUGCCCGGGACGAAACUCCCCUUUCGAGGGGAUUGACGGUACCGGGUGAGGAAGCACCGGCUAACUCUGUGCCAGCAGCCGCGGUAAUACAGAGGGUGCGAGCGUUGUCCGGAAUCACUGGGCGUAAAGGGCGCGUAGGUGGCGGGAUAAGCGUGUGGUGAAAGCCCGGGGCUCAACCCCGUGUCUGCCAUGCGGACUGUCUUGCUCGAGCGUAGUAGAGGCAGGUGGAAUUCCGGGUGUAGCGGUGGAAUGCGUAGAGAUCCGGAAGAACACCGGUGGCGAAGGCGGCCUGCUGGGCUACUGCUGACACUGAGGCGCGACAGCGUGGGGAGCAAACAGGAUUAGAUACCCUGGUAGUCCACGCCGUAAACGAUGGGUACUAGGUGUCUGGGGGAGCGACCCCCUGGGUGCCGGCGCUAACGCAUGAAGUACCCCGCCUGGGGAGUACGGCCGCAAGGCUGAAACUCAAAGGAAUUGACGGGGGCCCGCACAAGCGGUGGAGCAUGUGGUUUAAUUCGACGCAACGCG
rnacentral:rRNA from 1 species